rnacentral:sRNA from 1 species
AGCAGCCGCGGUAAUUCCAGCUCCAAUAGCGUAUAUUAAAGUUGUUGCAGUUAAAAAGCUCGUAGUUGAACCUUAGGCCCGUGCGGGUGGUCCGUCCUCUGGGCGAGCACUGCCUCGUCGCGGGUCUCACCUUCUGGCGAGCGUGGAUGCCAUUCACUUGGUGUCGGCGGGAACCAGGACCUUUACCUUGAAAAAAUUAGAGUGCUCAAAGCGGGCUCGUACGCUUGAAUACAUUAGCAUGGAAUAAUGAAAUAGGACGACGGUUCUAUUUUGUUGGUUUCCGGGACAGUCGUAAUGAUUAAUAGGGAUAGUUGGGGGCAUUCGUAUUCAAUUGUCAGAGGUGAAAUUCUUGGAUUUAUUGAAGACGAACUACUGCGAAAGCAUUUGCCAAGGAUGUUUUCAUUAAUCAAGAACGAAAGUUGGGGGAUCGAAGACGAUCAGAUACCGUCGUAGUCUCAACCAUAAACUAUGCCGA